UGAGGAAUAUUGGUCAAUGGACGGAAGUCUGAACCAGCCAUGCCGCGUGAAGGAUGAAGGCGUUCUGCGUUGUAAACUUCUUUUAUCUGGGAAGAAACCUCCGAUUUCUAUUGGAGCCGACGGUACCAGAGGAAUAAGCACCGGCUAACUCCGUGCCAGCAGCCGCGGUAAUACGGAGGGUGCAAGCGUUAUCCGGAUUUACUGGGUUUAAAGGGUGUGUAGGCGGACUUUUAAGUCAGUGGUGAAAUCUCCGGGCUCAACCCGGAAACUGCCAUUGAUACUAUUGGUCUUGAAUGUUGUGGAGGUGGGCGGAACGGGUCAUGUAGCGGUGAAAUGCAUAGAUAUGACCCGGAACACCGAUUGCGAAGGCAGCCCGCUACGCAACGAUUGACGCUGAGGCACGAAAGCGUGGGGAUCAAACAGG
rnacentral:rRNA from 1 species